GAAGCGGGAAAAGCUCAAAUUUGAAAUCUGGCGGUCUUUGAUCGUCCGAGUUGUAAUCUAGAGAAGUUGUUACCUGUGCAGGACCAUGUACAAGUCUCCUGGAAUGGGGCAUCAUAGAGGGUGAGAAUCCCGUCUUUGACAUGGACUACCUGCAUGUUGUGGUGCGCUCUCAAAGAGUCGAGUUGUUUGGGAAUGCAGCUCAAAAUGGGUGGUAAAUGCCAUCUAAAGCUAAAUAUUGGCGAGAGACCGAUAGCGAACAAGUACCGUGAGGGAAAGAUGAAAAGCACUUUGGAAAGAGAGUUAAACAGUACGUGAAAUUGCUGAAAGGGAAACGCUUGAAGUCAGUCACAUUGGCCAGAAAUCAGCCUUGCUUUUGUGAGGUGUACUUUCUGUUUGAUGGGUCAGCAUCAAUUUCGAUCGCUGGAUAAAGUCUCUGGGAAUGUGGCAUCUUCGGAUGUGUUAUAGCCCAUUGUCACAUGCAGCGGUUGGGAUUGAGGAACUCAGCACGCCGAAAGGCCGGGUUUCGACCCAUGUCCGUGCUUAGGAUGCUGGCAUAAUGGCUUUAAUCGACCCGUCUUGAAACACGGACCAAGGAGUCUAACAUGCCUGCGAGUGUUUGGGUGGAAAACCCAUGCGCGCAAUGAAAGUGAAAGUUGAGAUCCCUCUAGUAGGGGAGCAUCGACGCCCGGACCAGACCUUUU
rnacentral:rRNA from 1 species